AUGAACGCUGGCGGCGUGCCUCAUACAUGCAAGUCGAGCGAACGGACGAGAAGCUUGCUUCUCUGAUGUUAGCGGCGGACGGGUUAGUAACACGUGGAUAACCUACCUAUAAGACUGGGAUAACUUCGGGAAACCGGAGCUAAUACCGGAUGAUAUUUUGAACCGCAUGGUUCAAAAGUGAAAGACGGUCUUGCUGUCACUUAUAGAUGGAUCCGCGCUGCAUUAGCUAGUUGGUAAGGUAACGGCUUACCAAGGCAACGAUGCAUAGCCGACCUGAGAGGUUGAUCGGCCACACUGGAACUGAGACACGGUCCAGACUCCUACGGGAGGCAGCAGUAGGGAAUCUUCCGCAAUGGGCGAAAGCCUGACGGAGCAACGCCGCGUGAGUGAUGAAGGUCUUCGGAUCGUAAAACUCUGUUAUUAGGGAAGAACAUAUGUGUAAGUAACUGUGCACAUCUUGACGGUACCUAAUCAGAAAGCCACGGCUAACUACGUG
rnacentral:rRNA from 1 species